UCCAUCCACCUCACCACCACCAGGUCUGCCCCAGUCUACUUGUCCAGGGGAAGGCUCCGCCCCUGCUAGUCCUGGCAGGAUACGCCGAGUCCGCACGUCAUCCUGGAUCAGUGACGGGGCUCAUGCCAAAGAUUCACCAUGCAAAAUAUUCCCAUGUCAUUAUUUAAAUAAAUCCUGUUCAUACUUAUCAGUGAUCGAGUCUUUAUGGGAGAACUGAAAUCCUCGCUGCUGAGAAGAAAUCCAACAACCUCCAGCCCCUUGACAAAUGAAGACGAUACAGACAUAGACACCAAUGUGGACUUAUUUGACCCCCCUCAGGCUUCGGGAUCAACUGUAACUAUUUACAAAACGCAAGAAAUAAAAGUAGAAUUAGGGCCCUAUUGUUUCCACGAUCACAGAAUCGUGGACGGAAUCGUGGAAUUGAGCAAUAAAAAAGCAAUCUACUUUUUAACACGGAAUAUCACGGAAAAUGACAAUUUGACUGAAAUGCUGUUAUCGUGAGGAAGAGGAAUGUAAACCCAGGGGGAAUUUUCACAAUAAUCCGCCUUCGCUUGUAAGAAAAUGUAAGAAACACGACACUACACUCCAGGUGAGUCAUACUAGCAUAGCAUUGUUGACAUUUUCAUUUAUGCAGGACCUCUGCAAGGGGAAAGUGAAGAGGAGAGUGUCCUGAUGGAUCAGCCCAGAUCCAGUGUUGGCAUGCAACAGGAAGUGAUGGAUGCUCUGAAAGAAAUACCAGCCUUAGUCAAGUGUGUCAGAGAUCUUAUUACGACCAUGAAGAGAAUGCCACCUGUCAUGGACACUGACAGUACAUGUUCUGGUUCUUCCAGUCCAGCUCCAGAAAUUGUAUGUUUUGCAUUUAUACACGUUUUGUAAAAACUGCCUUUUUAUUACAGGAAUAUUUUCAUCCAAAAUUGUUGUAAACUACUUGACUGUUAGCAGUUUUGUCUCUGUAGUCUCGACCCAGAUUUUGCAAGUACUGUAUUUGAUAGAAACUGUUUUUUCCAUUUCAGCAUGCAGUUGUUCAGAAAUUAUGCUUUAAUUCAUUGAAGACCACUUGCAGAAAUUACAACUUAACUAAUAUUUGGCAUUCAAUAGUUCGGCUUUGUCUUUUAAGAAAUGCAUUCCAGCAACGUAUUCCUAAUACCAUUUCUAAUAAUUGACUAACUCUAUUGCCUGGGCACAGAUUUCCCUUGGCAACAUGGGGGUGCAGGUCAGCAAAACCUGUUUCAGAAGACUAAACCGAACAAGAAUGUCCCUGUUCACACAGGACUUAGCUGUGCUCAUCUUUGGGCGGGAUGUUUUGGCAUCCUCGACUCUCACAGGAAAACCAGGGCUUACUGGAACAGCGAAAGAGCAGCUAAAUCCGGAAAAGCUGAGUGCCCUUGUUAUACAGUUAUUGCUGAAUUUCCAGGAACAAAUGUGUCUGAUGUGAGGGCAGUGAUUCUGAGAAAAUGUAACAAUGAGAAUUUUGUGAGCAAAAAUAAACAGUAAUCAGUAAAUCAGUAACUGUUUGUAAUCGUUUUUGUUUGUUUGUUCUUUGGUGGACAUACAUUUUGAACCCCUUCAGACCCUGUAUCCAUUACAAUGGACGUCACAUGACGGGGGCUUUUUUUUUACUUUUUGCAACGUUUAACACCACUUGAACCCUUAAGUCCAUAUAAGUGGAUG